rnacentral:rRNA from 1 species
GACGAACCGUGCGAACGUUAUUCGGAAUCAUUGGGCUUAAAGCGCGUGUAGGCGGGCCGCCAUGUCGGGCGCUGAAAUCUUCCGGCUCAACCGGGGAAUGGGCAUCGAUACGGGCGGUCUGGAGGGGGGUAGGGGGGCCUGGAACUUCCGGUGGAGCGGUGAAAUGCGUUGAGAUCGGAGGGAACGCCCGUGGCGAAAGCGAGGCCCUGGACCCUUACUGGCGCUGAGACGCGAAAGCCAGGGGAGCGAACGGG